rnacentral:rRNA from 1 species
UACAGAGGUCCCAAGCGUUGUUCGGAUUCAUUGGGCGUAAAGGGUGCGUAGGCGGCGCGGUAAGUCGGGUGUGAAAUCUCGGGAGCUUAACUCCGAAACUGCAUUCGACUCUGCCGUGCUUGAGGACUGGAGAGGAGACUGGAAUUUACGGUGUAGCGGUGAAAUGCGUAGAUAUCGUAAGGAAGACCAGUGGCGAAGGCGGGUCUCUGGACAGUUCCUGACGCUGAGGCACGAAGGCCAGGGGAGCAAACGGG